GGAAUUGAUACGAGUUGAAGAUAUGGAUAAAAGCUAUCAAUCUAACCACCUGCGGUCAAGAACUUUGCCGUAGGGGGGUGGCAGUAAAGCCACUGCUGCCACCACCCGUAAUGGACAAAAAUGAAAAAUUUGGUAUGGGUUUGUCAGCUUCUGGUGCACUUUCCCACCCGGGCAUUUUCAUGAAUAAAAGGGUCUGGGACAAGCUUUCAAUCCCACUAGGUGUGGGUAAAAACUUUGCCGUAGGGAACUGUACAGAAAGAGUGAAAAAAAUGAGCCCAUACCCAUUACUGUAUAGGUACCUCAGACUUUGGAUGGACAGUGAAGUCUUCAGGUGCACUUUCCCACCCUGGAAUUGAUACGAGUUGAAGAUAUGGAUAAAAGCUAUCAAUCUAACCACCUGCGGUCAAGAACUUUGCCGUAGGGGGAUGGCAGUAAAGCCACUGCUGCCACACCCGUAAUGGACAAAAAUGAGAAAUUUGGUAUGGGUUGUCAGCUUCUGGUGCACUUUCCCACCCGGGCAUUUUCAUGAAUAAAAGGGUCUGGGACAAGCUUUCAAUCCCACUAGGUGUGGGUAAAAAACUUUGCCGUAGGGAACUGUACAGAAAGAGUGAAAAAAUGAGCCCAUACCCAUUAACUGUAUAGGUACCUCAGACUUUGGAUGGACAGUGAAGUCUUCAGGUGCACUUUCCCACCCUGGAAUUGAUACGAGUUGAAGAUAUGGAUAAAAGCUAUCAAUCUAACCACCUGCGGUCAAGAACUUUGCCGUAGGGGGUGGCAGUAAAGCCACUGCUGCCACCACCCGUAAUGGACAAAAAUGAGAAAUUGGUAUGGGGUUGUCAGCUUCUGGUGCACUUUCCCACCCGGGCAUUUUCAUGAAUAAAAGGGUCUGGGACAAGCUUUCAAUCCCACUAGGUGUGGGUAAAAAACUUUGCCGUAGGGAACUGUACAGAAAGAGUGAAAAAUGAGCCCAUACCCAUUACUGUAUAGGUACCUCAGACUUUGGAUGGACAGUGAAGUCUUCAGGUGCACUUUCCCACCCUGGAAUUGAUACGAGUUGAAGAUAUGGAUAAAAGCUAUUCAAUCUAACCACCUGCGGUCAAGAACUUUGCCGUAGGGGGAUGGCAGUAAAGCGACUGCUGCCACCACCCGUAAUGGACAAAAAUGAGAAAUUGGUAUGGGUUUGUCAGCUUCUGGUGCACUUUCCCACCCGGGCAUUUUCAUGAAUAAAAGGGUCUGGGACAAGCUUUCAAUCCCACUAGGUGUGGGUAAAAACUUUGCCGUAGGGAACUGUACAGAAAGAGUGAAAAAAUGAGCCCAUACCCAUUACUGUAUAGGUACCUCAGACUUUGGAUGGACAGUGAAGUCUUCAGGUGCACUUUCCCACCCUGGAAUUGAUACGAGUUGAAGAUAUGGAUAAAGCUAUUCAAUCUAACCACCUGCGGUCAAGAACUUUGCCGUAGGGGGGUGGCAGUAAAGCCACUGCUGCCACCACUCGUAAUGGCUAAAAAUGAGAAAUUGAGUAUGGGUUGUCAGCUUCUGGUGCACUUUCCCACCCGGGCAUUUUCAUGAAUAAAAGGGUCUGGGACAAGCUUUCAAUCCCACUAGGUGUGGGUAAAAACUUUGCCGUAGGGAACUGUACAGAAAGAGUGAAAAAAAUGAGCCCAUACCCAUUAACUGUAUAGGUACCUCAGACUUUGGAUGGACAGUGAAGUCUUCAGGUGCACUUUCCCACCCUGGAAUUGAUACGAGUUGAAGAUAUGGAUAAAAGCUAUUCAAUCUAACCACCUGCGGUCAAGAACUUUGCCGUAGGGGGAUGGCAGUAAAGCCACUGCUGCCACCACCCGUAAUGGACAAAAAUGAGAAAUUGAGUAUGGGUUGUCAGCUUCUGGUGCACUUUCCCACCCGGGGGCAUUUUCAUGAAUAAAAGGGUCUGGGACAAGCUUUCAAUCCCACUAGGUGUGGGUAAAAACUUUGCCGUAGGGAACUGUACAGAAAGAGUGAAAAAAUGAGCCCAUACCCAUUACUGUAUAGGUACCUCAGACUUUGGAUGGACAGUGAAGUCUUCAGGUGCACUUUCCCACCCUGGAAUUGAUACGAGUUGAAGAUAUGGAUAAAAGCUAUCAAUCUAACCACCUGCGGUCAAGAACUUUGCCGUAGGGGGGUGGCAGUAAAGCCACUGCUGCCACCACCCGUAAUGGACAAAAAUGAGAAAUUGAGUAUGGGGUUGUCAGCUUCUGGUGCACUUUCCCACCCGGGCAUUUUCAUGAAUAAAAGGGUCUGGGACAAGCUUUCAAUCCCACUAGGUGUGGGUAAAAACUUUGCCGUAGGGAACUGUACAGAAAGAGUGAAAAAAAUGAGCCCAUACCCAUUACUGUAUAGGUACCUCAGACUUUGGAUGGACAGUGAAGUCUUCAGGUGCACUUUCCCACCCUGGAAUUGAUACGAGUUGAAGAUAUGGAUAAAAGCUAUCAAUCUAACCACCUGCGGUCAAGAACUUUGCCGUAGGGGGAUGGCAGUAAAGCCACUGCUGCCACCACCCCGUAAUGGACAAAAAUGAGAAAUUGAGUAUGGGUUUGUCAGCUUCUGGUGCACUUUCCCACCCGGGCAUUUUCAUGAAUAAAAGGGUCUGGGACAAGCUUUCAAUCCCACUAGGUGUGGGUAAAAACUUUGCCGUAGGGAACUGUACAGAAAGAGUGAAAAAUGAGCCCAUACCCAUUACUGUAUAGGUACCUCAGACUUUGGAUGGACAGUGAAGUCUUCAGGUGCACUUUCCCACCCUGGAAUUGAUACGAGUUGAAGAUAUGGAUAAAAGCUAUUCAAUCUAACCACCUGCGGUCAAGAACUUUGCCGUAGGGGGGUGGCAGUAAAGCCACUGCUGCCACCACCCGUAAUGGACAAAAAUGAGAAAUUGGUAUGGGGUUGUCAGCUUCUGGUGCACUUUCCCACCCGGGCAUUUUCAUGAAUAAAAGGGUCUGGGACAAGCUUUCAAUCCCACUAGGUGUGGGUAAAAACUUUGCCGUAGGGAACUGUACAGAAAGAGUGAAAAAAUGAGCCCAUACCCAUUACUGUAUAGGUACCUCAGACUUUGGAUGGACAGUGAAGUCUUCAGGUGCACUUUCCCACCCUGGAAUUGAUACGAGUUGAAGAUAUGGAUAAAAGCUAUCAAUCUAACCACCUGCGGUCAAGAACUUUGCCGUAGGGGGGUGGCAGUAAAGCCACUGCUGCCACCACCCGUAAUGGACAAAAAUGAGAAAUUGGUAUGGGUUGUCAGCUUCUGGUGCACUUUCCCACCCGGGCAUUUUCAUGAAUAAAAGGGUCUGGGACAAGCUUUCAAUCCCACUAGGUGUGGGUAAAAACUUUGCCGUAGGGAACUGUACAGAAAGAGUGAAAAAAUGAGCCCAUACCCAUUACUGUAUAGGUACCUCAGACUUUGGAUGGACAGUGAAGUCUUCAGGUGCACUUUCCCACCCUGGAAUUGAUACGAGUUGAAGAUAUGGAUAAAAGCUAUCAAUCUAACCACCUGCGGUCAAGAACUUUGCCGUAGGGGGGUGGCAGUAAAGCCACUGCUGCCACCACCCGUAAUGGACAAAAAUGAGAAAUUGGUAUGGGGUUGUCAGCUUCUGGUGCACUUUCCCACCCGGGCAUUUUCAUGAAUAAAAGGGUCUGGGACAAGCUUUCAAUCCCACUAGGUGUGGGUAAAAACUUUGCCGUAGGGAACUGUACAGAAAGAGUGAAAAAAUGAGCCCAUACCCAUUACUGUAUAGGUACCUCAGACUUUGGAUGGACAGUGAAGUCUUCAGGUGCACUUUCCCACCCUGGAAUUGAUACGAGUUGAAGAUAUGGAUAAAAGCUAUCAAUCUAACCACCUGCGGUCAAGAACUUUGCCGUAGGGGGGUGGCAGUAAAGCCACUGCUGCCACCACCCGUAAUGGACAAAAAUGAGAAAUUGGUAUGGGUUGUCAGCUUCUGGUGCACUUUCCCACCCGGGCAUUUUCAUGAAUAAAAGGGUCUGGGACAAGCUUUCAAUCCCACUAGGUGUGGGUAAAAACUUUGCCGUAGGGAACUGUACAGAAAGAGUGAAAAAAUGAGCCCAUACCCAUUACUGUAUAGGUACCUCAGACUUUGGAUGGACAGUGAAGUCUUCAGGUGCACUUUCCCACCCUGGAAUUGAUACGAGUUGAAGAUAUGGAUAAAAGCUAUCAAUCUAACCACCUGCGGUCAAGAACUUUGCCGUAGGGGGGUGGCAGUAAAGCCACUGCUGCCACCACCCGUAAUGGACAAAAAAUGAAAAAAUUGGUAUGGGUUGUCAGCUUCUGGUGCACUUUCCCACCCGGGCAUUUUCAUGAAUAAAAGGGUCUGGGACAAGCUUUCAAUCCCACUAGGUGUGGGUAAAAACUUUGCCGUAGGGAACUGUACAGAAAGAGUGAAAAAUGAGCCCAUACCCAUUACUGUAUAGGUACCUCAGACUUUGGAUGGACAGUGAAGUCUUCAGGUGCACUUUCCCACCCUGGAAUUGAUACGAGUUGAAGAUAUGGAUAAAAGCUAUCAAUCUAACCACCUGCGGUCAAGAACUUUGCCGUAGGGGGGUGGCAGUAAAGCCACUGCUGCCACCACCCGUAAUGGACAAAAAUGAGAAAUUGGGUAUGGGUUUGUCAGCUUCUGGUGCACUUUCCCACCCGGGCAUUUUCAUGAAUAAAAGGGUCUGGGACAAGCUUUCAAUCCCACUAGGUGUGGGUAAAAACUUUGCCGUAGGGAACUGUACAGAAAGAGUGAAAAAUGAGCCCAUACCCAUUACUGUAUAGGUACCUCAGACUUUGGAUGGACAGUGAAGUCUUCAGGUGCACUUUCCCACCCUGGAAUUGAUACGAGUUGAAGAUAUGGAUAAAAGCUAUUCAAUCUAACCACCUGCGGUCAAGAACUUUGCCGUAGGGGGAUGGCAGUAAAGCCACUGCUGCCACCACCCGUAAUGGACAAAAAUGAGAAAUUGGUAUGGGUUGUCAGCUUCUGGUGCACUUUCCCACCCGGGCAUUUUCAUGAAUAAAAGGGUCUGGGACAAGCUUUCAAUCCCACUAGGUGUGGGUAAAAACUUUGCCGUAGGGAACUGUACAGAAAGAGUGAAAAAUGAGCCCAUACCCAUUACUGUAUAGGUACCUCAGACUUUGGAUGGACAGUGAAGUCUUCAGGUGCACUUUCCCACCCUGGAAUUGAUACGAGUUGAAGAUAUGGAUAAAGCUAUCAAUCUAACCACCUGCGGUCAAGAACUUUGCCGUAGGGGGAUGGCAGUAAAGCCACUGCUGCCACCACCCGUAAUGGACAAAAAUGAGAAAUUGGUAUGGGUUGUCAGCUUCUGGUGCACUUUCCCACCCGGGCAUUUUCAUGAAUAAAAGGGUCUGGGACAAGCUUUCAAUCCCACUAGGUGUGGGUAAAAAACUUUGCCGUAGGGAACUGUACAGAAAGAGUGAAAAAAUGAGCCCAUACCCAUUAACUGUAUAGGUACCUCAGACUUUGGAUGGACAGUGAAGUCUUCAGGUGCACUUUCCCACCCUGGAAUUGAUACGAGUUGAAGAUAUGGAUAAAAGCUAUCAAUCUAACCACCUGCGGUCAAGAACUUUGCCGUAGGGGGGUGGCAGUAAAGCCACUGCUGCCACCACCCGUAAUGGACAAAAAUGAGAAAUUGAGUAUGGGUUGUCAGCUUCUGGUGCACUUUCCCACCCGGGCAUUUUCAUGAAUAAAAGGGUCUGGGACAAGCUUUCAAUCCCACUAG
rnacentral:lncRNA from 1 species